ACGUAGUCUAUGAGAUCGCCCAUAGAUAAAAGCAAGCACCUCGAUGCGGUUCCGCUUUCAUCUGCUCAACACAUGAAAGAGAUGACGUCGUAAAUUUGAGUCAAUUUUUCAUUUUCUUUCGGCCAUGGCUAAUCGUUUUAGACAAUUUCGUUUGCUUCUAUGGAAAAACUUCAUUUUACAGAUUCGUCGGCCGAUAGGCACAGUGUUCGAGCUGUUAUUGCCUGUUCUUUUCAUAGCAGUUUUAAUUCUACCGAAGAAACUCUAAAUUGUCAGCGUCGUCUAACUCCGUAAGUUGGUCUUGGUUAUGGAAAGGCAGUAAGUGGUAUAAACAAUCCAAGGGAUUGGAGACGUUUUCUACCACUACACCUGAUGGUUCACGUUGGAUUGGGGUGAUCAUCGAAAGAUGCAUUGUUCGUAAAGUACAAAAUUUUACCGAUUAGUUAAGCUGUGGUGCAAAUUGCAAUCGUAAAAUUAAGACUUCCUUAACCAGCUGCAGUUAUAUGUUGAAAGAUCAAGGCACUUUUCGGUGUCCCACUCAAUAUGGAUCGAGAUGUGAACGAAUAAAAUUAUCGCAUAUUAAACCUGAUACCUGAUUUCACGUUUAUAGCUGCAUCAAUUCUGUAUAGGCGACAAAAUUGAGCACGUAAAACUAAGCUGCAACUAAUACACUGGCAUAAUUUAAAAAAUUAAUGCUAAGCAGUCCCUGGCAGUGAGUUAAAAAAAUCGACCAGAACUUGACAUAUAAGACCACAAAUACUCAAGAUAAGAAAUGAUCUUCACAAGUGGACUGCAAUCAUAGCAAUUGCAGUAAAAAAGCCUGAAGAAAUUACUCAUUUAAACAAUGUUAUUAUUCCCUGUGAUA